ACGACUGCUAAGACUGGAUAGGAGACAAGAAGGCAUCUUUUUGUUUUUAAAAGACCUAGCAAUAGGUAUGCUUAGGGAGGAGCUUGCGUCACAUUAGUUAGUUGGUGGGGUAAAGGCCUACCAAGACUAUGAUGUGUAGCCGGGCUGAGAGGUUGAACGGCCACAUUGGGACUGAGACACGGCCCAAACUCCUACGGGAGGCAGCAGUAGGGAAUUUCCGGCAAUGGAGGAAACUCUGACCGAGCAACGCCGCGUGAACGAUGAAGUAUUUCGGUACGUAAAGUUCUUUUAUUAGGGAAGAAUAAAUGAUGGAAAAAUCAUUCUGACGGUACCUAAUGAAUAAGCCCCGGCUAACUAUGUCGGAGCAGCCGCGGUAUUACAUAGGGGGCAAGCGUUAUCCGGAAUUAUUGGGCGUAAAGGGUGCGUAGGCGGUUAAAUAAGUUUAUGGUCUAAGUGCAAUGCUCAACAUUGUGAUGCUAUAAAAACUGUUUAGCUAGAGUAAGAUAGAGGCAAGUGGAAUUCCAUGUCUAGUGGUAAAAUGCGUAAAUAUAUGGAGCAACACCAGUAGCGAAGGCGGCUUGCUGUGUCUUUACUGACGCUGAGGCACGAAAGCGUGGGGAGCAAACAGGAUUAGAUACCCUGGUAGUCCACGCCGUAAACGAUGAGUACAAAACGUUGGGUAAAACCAGUGUUGAAGUUAACACAUUAAGUACUCCGCCUGAGUAGUACGUACGCAAGUAUGAAACUUAAAGGAAUUGACGGGACUCCGCACAAGCGGUGGAUCAUGUUGUUUAAUUCGAGGGUACCCGAAAAACCUCACCAGGUCUUGACAUGCUUCUGCAAAGCUGUAGAAACACAGUGGAGGUUAUCAGUUGCACAGGUGGUGCAUGGUUGUCGUCAGCUGGUGUCGUGAGAUGUUGGGUUAAGUCCCGCAACGAGCGCAACCCUUAUUGUUAGUUACCAGCACGUAAUGGUGGGGACUUUAGCAAGACUGCCAGUGAUAAAUUGGAGGAAGGUGGGGACUUCGUCAAAUCAUCAUGCCCCUUAUGACCUGGGCUACAAACGUGAUACAAUGGCUGUUACAAAGAGUAGCUGAAACGUAAGUUUUUGGCGAAUCUCAAAAAAACAGUCUCAGUUCGGAUUGAUGUCUGCAACUCGACUUCAUGAAGUUGGAAUCGCUAGUAAUCGCGAAUCAGCAUGUCGCGGUGAAUACGUUCUCGGGGUUAGUACACACCGCCCGUCA
rnacentral:rRNA from 1 species